rnacentral:rRNA from 1 species
GUGCAGCAGGCGAGAAACCUCCGCAAUGCGGGCAACCGCGACGGGGGGACCCCCAGUGCCGUGGCAUCGCCACGGCUUUUCCGGAGUGUAAAAAAGCUCCGGGAAUAAGGGCUGGGCAAGGCCGGUGGCAGCCGCCGCGGUAAUACCGGCGGCCCGAGUGGUGGCCGCUAUUAUUGGGCCUAAAAGCGUCCGUAGCCGGGCCUGUAAGUCCCUGGCGAAAAUCCCACGGCUCAACCGUGGGGCUUGCUGGGGAUACUGCAGGCCUUGGGACCGGGAGAGGCCGGGGGUACCCCUGGGGUAGGGGUGAAAAUCCUAUAAAUCCCAGGGGGACCGCCAAGUGGCG